UGAAUGAAAGCAUUGUUUGUGUGCAGAAAAUGGCUGCUGAAUCAUCAUUGCUUAUUCUUUAUGGAAAUGGAAUAACUAUGAAAAAACAAGAAUAGCUGUCCAGUGCUCAUGUUGUCUUUCAACUUUCUCAGCUUCUGGACUCUGAUAAACUUAAAUUAAGUUAGGCAAUUCUCUCCAAUGUCUUUCUGUCUCUGCAUCUCACACCCUAAUCUCACUUUACAAACACAAAAAGGACACGUUGUAUUGCAAGGGGCACAUGCAAGUUCCAGGUAUAAUAAAUGUGUCAGCAAAGAACUAAGCAGGUAACAAACAAGAUACUAUGACACAGAAGCAGUAUGGCCUGAGUUUCUGCAUUACAAGUCCCUGUGCUGCUUCUCUCUUUUCUAUGUCUGUCCCACAAUGAAGACCAGGACUACAAACCUACAGAUCCCCUACACAGCUGCACGGAAGUGGAGAGAGACAGAUACGUCCUGUUCCUGAAAUAAAGCACACAUAAGGAAACCCUGCCUGUAUUAAGUUAUCACUGCUGUUCAUAAGGCUCUGUAAGUUUCCAGAGGAGAUAGCUGGAUCAGGAGCAGGACUCCUUGGGGAAACUCUCCUGUAACCAAACACAUGACAAGCCACUGAUGACAAGAGCACCAUCAAGAAAUCCUCAUAGUCUCAUGGCAUAUCUUCAAACAUGUAAAUCUGUACAUCAGCUCUGUACAGUGGUAAGAUGCAAGGUUGGAUUAAAUGCCAGCAAUGACACUGGAAUGGGAUGGUAGCAGGUAAUUUUAUUCAUAUUUACAUUUGUUGACUCAUUGAAAAUUUAAUCUUUUCACUGUUAUUACAAAAAAUCAAAACUAAAACCCAAGCUAUGUUAAACCACGACACUGAGCCAUGACUUUGAGUUGUUUGUUUGUGGCAAUGAAAAUCUUUACAAUUUUGAUUUGAAAGAUCCAACAUUUUUAUAGAGUAAGAAGAAAUCGGAUCGAUUUGCCUGUAGGAAAAAGCCAGGGAAAGCAGAGAGAGACAAGGUAUCAGAACUAGGAAAGACGUGUGUCCACGUCUCCCAUUUGGUCACCCUUCUUGUGUGCCCAUGGACUCUGCAAAAGAUUGUCAUUGACUUGGAGGAAUUUACUUGGUGAUAUCUUUUGUAGGCUCUUUCCCCAUGUCGCUUUUUGUCACCUUAUGGCAUUCCUGUGGGUGUAAAAUCCUCUGCCAGCCUAUGCCCUCGACAGAAGCAGCCACAUCCCCCAGACCGUGGGAGAGGAACAGCAGCAGUGUGCUGCUGGCCAGCCCAAGCUCCCCACUGCACCAGACCCCUACCCCAGCACUAACUCUAAGCAGGGCUUUGGACAGUCCCCUGCAUGCUUCAUGCACUAUCUGCAGGACCUCUCUAUCCCUAUGUGGUCUGUGACACUGCUGAUACUGACCCCAUACUUUCUUUCAGGGACUCCCAAACGCUUAGAAAAUCAAUUUGGAAUAUCCACACACUGUUUUCACUGUUCUUCAAGUCCUUGACUUUACCUGUACUACACGUAGGAAAACCUGACAUAGUUGGACACUAUUACCUGACUGCUCCCUUGGGGUACUGGGCUGUCUUUGCCUAUUUAGUGCUUUUUAUCAGUUGCCAGAAACACCCAGAAUUGUUGUGUUUUCACAAGCCUUACUGCCAGCUGUAGGUGGGCCUUUCAGAGACUGUAGCAGUACAAAAAUUAAUCCUAAAUUCAAUAAAAUCCUGUCCCAUAAAUGAGAACUUCACGAGUUCCAGUAACCUUUAUCACAGACAUGAAGAAGUAAAUCUCCCCAGUCAGUAAGAAUACAAUGAAUGCUCUAGAAAUUUAUCUUACUAUUUAAUAUCUAAACUUCUUACACAAAAGCAAUUAAGGA